rnacentral:rRNA from 1 species
GCUUGCUCUCGGGUGACGAGCGGCGGACGGGUGAGUAAUGUCUGGGAAACUGCCUGAUGGAGGGGAUAACUACUGGAAACGGUAGCUAAUACCGCAUAACGUCGCAAGACAAAGUGGGGGACCUUCGGGCCUCAUGCCAUCAGAUGUGCCCAGAUGGGAUUAGCUAGUAGGUGGGGUAACGGCUCACCUAGGCGACGAUCCCUAGCUGGUCUGAGAGGAUGACCAGCCACACUGGAACUGAGACACGGUCCAGACUCCUACGGGAGGCAGCA